AAAAAGUUAGUUAAAUAAUAACAUAAAUAUGUCAUAUUUAUAUUAUUGGUAACACUCCAUUACUUUUUG
rnacentral:tRNA from 1 species